CUAGAACUGAAUCAAGGGAGAGAGAGCAGUCCUCCUCCACCUGAGAAGAAUAUAUCCAUCUUUGCUUCAGAUGGGCAGGGCAUUGCCAUUAGACUCUCCAAGCAGGUAGCCAGCUCCAGCAAUAGACUGAGACAGGCAAUAAAAGAAUACAACAGCAUUCAAUGGUCACCGCAGAUGAGCUUCUUACCUGCGACAAUUGAUUUUCAGGAAUCAUGUGAUCCCUCUUGGCAUGUCUACUUCUGCUUUGAUGACACUAUUGAAGAAGAUGAUGUUUCGAGGAGGCGAGGGAUUGAUGCCUUACAUAUGAAGACUCAUUCAACGCUUCCAACAGCUGGAAAGAAAACUACAUCAAGCCAUUGUGAUGUUUCACCCACAUGUAUCAGACUUUGUUCCUGCAGACAACCCCCACUUGUGUCAGGCCCUCCCCAUGCCAAGCAUACAGACACUGGUAUACAAUGAUAAGAGUGAUAAUGAUAAUGUGGAUAAAUAUGAUAACUACGGAGAUCAUUGUGUUUGGCUCGCCCGAUGUUCUGGAAAAUUCUUUUGGAAAUUCUGGUAUUUUAUCUUCUUCGGUCAAAUCAAGUGUAAAAAACUUAGGUGUAUUUUUCGAUAGGCAAAUAAAUGCAGUUGUAAAAGCGAGUUUUUACCAAUUAAGAAUGCUGGCUAAAGUGAAGACCUUUCUUUCUUUUAAACACUUAGAAAUUGCAACCCACGCUUUUAUUUCGUCCAGAAUUGAUUAUUGUUAUGCGCUGUAUGUGGGAAUAAAUAGCUCGUUAAUAGCGAGAUUACAAAUGGUUCAAAAUUCCGCUGCGCGGCUGUUAACCGGCGUUCGUAAAUACGAACAUAUUUCUCCUGUGCUAAUGUCUUUACAUUGGCUUCGGGUACAGUGUAGAAUUGAUUUUAAAGUGCUUUUGCUCGUUUUUAAAUCGUUAAAUGGACUCGCUCCCCUCUACCUCUCGGAUUUGUUGGGUGAAUAUCGUCCAGAAAGAACUCUUCGGUCUGCCAACCAGAAUCUGUUAACUGUUCCAAAGUCCAAAUUAAAAUCUAGGGGUGACCGAGCUUUUGCCAUAGCCGCACCUAAACUUUGGAACACUUUACCGCUUCAUAUAAGAAUAUCCCCAACAUUACAUAUUUUUAAAUCUAAGUUAAAAACAUACUUUUUUACUAAGGCCUAUGACUCGUGAUGAUAUUUGUUGUCUGAUGUUGAUGUGGUUUGUAUAUUUGUGUUUUUUUUAAUUAGUCAUUAUCUCAUUGUACAGCACAUUGGUCAACUGGAGUUGUUUUUAAUCGUGCUUUAUAAAUAAAUUGAGACUUGAGACUUGAACUAGCACUACAGAUAUUUUUUUUAAUUUCUAGUCUGAUAUUGUAUUCUGUAAAAAGAAUGAUGUAAAUGUAUAGUAUAUGUUGCAGCAUAUCAUAGAAACCUUUAUGGUGGUGUAAUAUAAUGCUCGCCUUACUUGUGCAAACAUGAUGUUUUACUAGGUCUGAUUUAUUUUAAAGCGUAGGUACUGUUUUUAAGCACACAUAAUCACACUAGUCUGUGUGAGGACAAAAUUGUGUGUUUACCAUUGUGAUGUUACUUAUUUACUGUAAUGUACAAAUGUGUGUAAGGUGUUUUGUUUUUGUGUGCUAAGUUGAAAUGACAAAGUAUUGAAUCUUGAAUCCUUUGAAACAAAUACUGUAAAAGUUUGUAAAAAAUAAAAUGUUUUCCACAAUGA